rnacentral:rRNA from 1 species
CUGGCACCUUGACGGUACCUAACCAGAAAGCCACGGCUAACUACGUGCCAGCAGCCGCGGUAAUACGUAGGUGGCAAGCGUUAUCCGGAAUUAUUGGGCGUAAAGCGCGCGCAAGGGUGGUUUUUUAAGUCUGAUGUGAAAGCCCACGGCUCAAAC